rnacentral:rRNA from 1 species
UACGAAGGGGGCUAGCGUUGCUCGGAUUGACUGGGCGUAAAGGGCGCGUAGGCGGUUUGCAUAGUCAGACGUGAAAUCCCUGGGCUUAACCUGGGGGCUGCGUUUGAUACAUGCAGGCUUGAGUUCGGAAGAGGGUCGUGGAAUUCCCAGUGUAGAGGUGAAAUUCGUAGAUAUUGGGAAGAACACCGGUGGCGAAGGCGGCGACCUGGUCCGAUACUGACGCUGAGGCGCGAAAGCGUGGGGAGCAAACAGG